rnacentral:rRNA from 1 species
GAUCAUGGCUCAGGAUGAACGCUGGCGGCGUGCUUAACACAUGCAAGUCGAGCGAAGCACUUAAGUUUGAUUCUUCGGAUGAAGACUUUUGUGACUGAGCGGCGGACGGGUGAGGUAACGCGUGGGUAACCUGCCUCAUACAGGGGGAUAACAGUUAGAAAUGGCUGCUAAUACCGCAUAAGACCACGGUACUGCAUGGUACAGUGGUAAAAACUCCGGUGGUAUGAGAUGGACCCGCG